UACGUAGGGGGCAAGCGUUGUCCGGAAUCAUUGGGCGUAAAGAGCGCGUAGGCGGCCCAGCAAGUCCGCUCUGAAAGUCAGGGGCUCAACCCCUGGAUGCGGGUGGAUACUGCUGGGCUAGAGUCCGGAAGAGGUGAGUGGAAUUCCUGGUGUAGAGGUGAAAUUCGUAGAUAUUGGGUGGAACACCGGUGGCGAAAGCGGCUCUCUGGUCCGGACCUGACGCUGAGGCGCGAAAGCGUGGGGAGCAAACAGG
rnacentral:rRNA from 1 species